UGUCCUCCAGGCGGCUCCGCACCACCUUCACGAUCUGACUGGGCUUCAUCUCCAGGGUCGGGAAGUUGCCGCGGCCGUGGAUGGGAAUAGUUUCGGUUGCUAAUAUAAAUUGCGGUGAGAGCUUGUCGGAGGGCUUGGACUGGAUAGGGAUGUUUGAGAUAACCUACCUGAUUUUUGAUGCAUCAAGGAUUUCACGAUCUUGGACUGACAAUUUUGUUUAGGACCUUGUGUUCAUCCUUCAACCAUUUUAAGUUUUUGUAUAUAUAUGUAGUGCGUGUUUGUUUCUUUGCUAUGUAUGCUUAUACUAUCCCAGAUUUGUUGCCGUAUCUAUAAUACUGGUUUGCUGUAUGGCUUAGCAUAUUGUAAGCUUUUCCAGUCAAUAAAGUAUCAAAAAGUG